rnacentral:sRNA from 22 species
GCUUUCAACAUCCCCGUCCCGGGCGGCCUUGACCGCAGUGGACUGAAGGC